GAGGUUUUGCGCAAUGUUCGUCGAUAGCAAUUCUACUGUAAUGUGUCUUGUUCAUUAGCUUGUCGCGUUUGUGAAGCGAUGGAUUCGCGCUGCGGAUUCGAUGCCAUCGAAGCGGUUCAGCCUGCGCGCGUCCCCCUGUGUAAAGGGUUUACCCCGAGAAUGUGAUGUUAUCUGAAUGACUGAAUGCUGACACUUCUUUCGGCAAUCUGUAGCUUCCCUUGCUCCCCAUGUUUAUUCUCAAAAUUGCGUCAGUUAACUACCCCAGGCUGAGGGCAAGUAAAGAAUAACACUACACAGAUGUUGCAUUGUUUAGUAGGCAACCGUCAUAUAAGAAGGUAACUAGUAACAAUUCUCUAGCGAAUCAUGUAGUCCAUGUCCACACAACCUUGCUGCUGCCGUCGUCUUGGUAACACCGAUAUCCUGCGGUCUUGCAAAUAAGUUCACAAUUCAAGACGCUAUAUUAUUAUAUAUAUUGCUGUUGCCAACGGUCUGCGUGUGUGCUGCUGCUUGAACAGUUUGUGGUCAGAUGGACUAGCUGAUACUACUUGAGCUCAAUGCGGCUCUACUCACCUGCGCUCUGUCUGCGGCGAUCAAGCACGCAUUCCCAUCCUAACCAGUUACGAGGAGGAUUCACGCAGAGUAUGGCCUCAUGGAAGUGCCCGCACUCACAGUCAAGCCUGUACCAUCCGAAGUCGGGUUUAGUUGAUUUUUCCCUUAGCAAGAAUGUAAAGUCUUCUCAGUCACAAAGUAUAAAGUACUUUGUCAGCUUAAUGGGCCAGCAGUUCCGUUGUGGACUAUCAACCAGAGAGGGUAGCCUAAGUGUGAAGCUUGACAUUCCUUCACAUGAAAAAUCGAGGAUAGGCUGGAACUGGAAAAACAUGCACCACAAGAUAGGGGGUGCAGCCGGUGGUCUUUGCUUUGGUUUUUCGGUUACUGGAUUAGCAUGUGCUGAGGUUCCAGUCAUUAGAAUCAAAGACAAUGCUGAAACCUCAUCAUCAUCUACCAGUUCAACUCAUGGGAAGAAAGUCUACACAGAUUAUUCUGUCACUGGUAUUCCUGGAGAUGGAAGAUGUUUGUUCCGCUCCGUGGUACAUGGUGCGUGCAUUAGGUCAGGGAGACCCAUACCUAAUGAAGAUCUUCAGAGAAAACUAGCUGAUGAACUGAGAGCAAUGGUCGCCGAUGAAUUUGUCAAGAGGCGGGAAGAGACUGAAUGGUUUGUUGAGGGAGAUUUUGAUACAUAUGUAUCCCAUAUCAGGGAGCCACAUGUGUGGGGAGGCGAGCCAGAAUUGUUCAUGGCGUCCCAUGUUCUUCAGAUGCCAAUAACGGUUUACAUGCGCGAUGAGGAUGCUGGUGGUCUGAUAGCAAUUGCAGAAUAUGGCCAGCAGUAUGGUAAAGAAGACCCAAUCCAAGUCUUGUAUCAUGGUUUUGGCCAUUACGAUGCUCUACAGAUUCCAGCAAAGAAUAUGCGUGUGAAUGUGGAAAAUAACUUUGAUGAAAACAUGAAAUGGCAUUAACUCACCAUGCCUAAAUGUUCUUUACAUGAUCCAGCACUUACCCAGUAGCUGAUGAAUUAGGUACAGAGCAUCACUUGUUGUGCUUUUUUUUUAAUUAUCCUACCAUAUCAUCUAUUUCCCAUUUAUUAUUAGAUACAGAAUUCCAACUGCAUUCGUUGCGCAUGAAAGCAUAAGUUGCAUGCAAGCAUGAAAUGUGUACUAUACAAUGUUAAUGCAAGCUUUGAAUGCUGAAUUUGUACCAUAGAGGACCCUGUUACAUAUAGUACUAUCUACCAUGGCCUGAAAAUUGCACUUGUAGUUCUGUAACUGGUAUACUAGAAUAGAAGAUAGAAGGGGCCCCAUUUAUCAUACUCUGAUUGAAAUGCAUUUAAAAAUAAACUACCCAACUCACCAGUUGGUCCAGCCGUCCAGUACCUGUGUUUCAAUGAGCAUGUGAAGAGCACCUCGACAGUUUGAGUCUGGCACUCUGGCUUGGAAUUGAAUUUGCAAGGGAAUCCGACGUGGUUCUCCAACUGAAUCAUAGCCUCGUUCUCACAGCAAAUAUUGCAUCAGCCCACCCCACCCCACCCAAAAAAAAACUGGGGCCCUGGGAGUAUGGAAGCAUCAGUGUAGUACAUUCAUAGAACUGGAACAGUGAAUCUCUGUUGCUUCCAUGGUUUGAGGACCUGAAUUUACACCAUCCAAUUUAUCUUCACAGUUAACUCCAUGGCGGUGCUGCAGAAUGGUGUAGUUUGAAGUUUGGUGGAGUGACUUCAUCGUCAGGUGGAGACUCCUCGGAUUGAGAUCAUGAGAUGAUAAAAAUAUUGCUGUUAAACUAGAUUACAUGAUGUAGCAUACAUGUGCUCGAUGUAUAACAUGAGCGAAGGUGCUGAAAGAACAGGGGGCUGGGUGUGGAAAAUUUGAGAUCCGGCAAUGGAAAGGUCCCUAGUAGAGAGGAGAGAUGAGCGAGUCCUUGCACAGUAGUAGUCAUCUGUAAAAGACUGCAUGUAACCUGGGAUUAUCAUCUGCAUGUAACAUGUUGAUUCCACUCGUCGACUA